CAGUCGCCGCGGGAAUACGGAGGGCGUGAGCGUUACCCGGAUUUACUGGGCGUAAAGGGCGUGUAGGCGGCCUGGGGCGUCCCAUGUGAAAGGCCACGGCUCAACCGUGGAGGAGCGUGGGAUACGCUCAGGCUAGAGGGUGGGAGAGGGUGGUGGAAUUCCCGGAGUAGCGGUGAAAUGCGCAGAUACCGGGAGGAACGCCGAUGGCGAAGGCAGCCACCUGGUCCACUUCUGACGCUGAGGCGCGAAAGCGUGGGGAGCAAACCGGAUUAGAUACCCGUGUAGUCCCUGUCUCUUAUAC
rnacentral:rRNA from 1 species